rnacentral:misc_RNA from 1 species
AACACACUCGUAUUCAUCGCGACCUUCGACACUCUCCCGCGCGCACGAGCCUUUGACGUGGGCGAUGUCGGAGUUAGGCAGGGAUCACCUACCCCAUAUUCAGGGGGUGGCGGCGUUUCGCAAAAGCGACAUUUCAACCAUGCCCUCUGUGGCAGCGGCCUGCCGUGCCUCCGAACCGCUACCUCGCCUGUACACGAGCACGGCCACGCUAGGCCGCAUCUAUGCACCGAGCGCGCCACACCGCAUGACGAAAGGAACUGCGAGCACACACGGCCGCGCAGCUCCUGGGCGCCGUUUUCACGCUGUACCUGCUGGAAGUCGAGCGCUCACGACAAAGGAUAUGCACUGCAGGCAUCCGUACCAUCUCAUGCCCCUUGGAUCCUCGUACCACACACCGGUCGGCUACUACAGAGAUGCGCUGCGCUUUGCACAGACCGUGGAGGAGUCACAGAGGACAGCCAUCAAAUUUGAAGAGCGCCGGUGCCGGUUGCACCUUUACAAGAAGUGCGCGUCUCACGCGCAUCGGAUUGCGCCUCCUUCUAGGGAGACUCGACAUCUCGCCUGCACCGCGGAGCCGCCGCAGCCCGUGAAAACAGUCGGGCCUCCCGCGUUUCUCAUCGUGUCCUACGACUCCAUGUCAUCUGUAUCGGAAAGCAAACUGGAAGAUGAAGACCAUAACAGUUUUUCUCCGCCAUCUCCCCGCGUGCUGCAAGAGAAGGAGACCGACAACGUCGUCGAGAAUGUGAUGAGGGCGAACAAUGUCAGCGCGCAUGCACGUUGGUCUACGGCGGGCACCUCAGCCACGCCUCCUCUCUUUCUCGGCGAUCAACUGUCGCGGCGCCCGUGCGAGACCAAGGAGCAUCUGCCCACCCUGCCUGCGCAGUUAACAGGUCCGCCAGGAAUCGCUGCGUCCAAGGGCGAUGCGCGAGACGCUGGCGCGCAACACGAGCUGUUGGAACAGCAGCCCCCUCGGUUAGUGGAGACACCUUUGACGUCACACGCGAUUUGGCUAUCCACCUCACACCACUACACCGAGCCAGCACCGUCUGUGGCGCCGGUCUUGGAGUUUUCGGUGUACCCACUGGUGCAUCGCGCCGCCGCGCAUGAGGAUUCGCGGACAACAUUGAAGACGCUGACGAUGUCUGGGGCGCCACACGGUGACCCGGGGACACUAAUUUGCUUAGAUACGCUGCGCACUGAGCGCCUGCUCGAGGCGCUGCAGUGGGUAGAGGCUGCCAUUCAGCACGCUACCGAGUUACAGGCACAUAGGUUCACCGCGCCACCACAACUGUAUUCAUUGGAAGCGGAGCAGAGCUCUGCUGUGCGCCAGGGCACCAAACCGCUACAACCUCCUCAGCACAAUCCUCAGGAGGAGCAGCCACCUUGGGGGUGCACCCCUAUGACAGAAGUCGUGCCCCGGCGCGAGAAUGUUCCCUUUGAAGGCCUCAAGGAGCUGCGUGCACUGCGGAGGAAAGAGGCUGCCGCUCUGGUGAGCUCCUGCUUUUCAGUCCUAAUCGGCGCCGUGCCCCAAUCGAUGUGCGGUAAGGGGACACCGACGACACCACUCGCAGCCGUCACUGCACCGACCAAGUACGAAGCCGCUGCCAACCCGCUGUCCUCGGUGCCGCCACGCCCAACCUCUGCUGCAUUUGAAGAAAUUUUGCACCAGCUGCGGUUGGAGGUGUCGCGUACGAUGGUGAGCUCCAUUUUGAGCUCCACUGCUGCGGUUCACACGGCUUUAGUGCCGCGCAACCAGAUGUGUUCCGCAAACAGGGAGGAAAAGGUAGCCACCGCUCUCGAUCUCUUCUCACCGCCGCUGCUUCGUCAGACGUCCCUCGUGGAGCACCAUGAUGGCACCUUAUCUCCUCCGAUGCUUGCCCCAGCGCGUGAGGCUGACUUGUAUCAGCUGCGUCGCGAUCUAGCCCAUCAACUGGCGACAACAGUGACACAGUCGACUCACCCCACCGAGUUUGCCUACGCUGAUAUCGAUCGUGCUAAGGCAGCCAAUAUUUCGGAGCCGCACUUCCACAAGGUGAGUAUCUUUCCCCGAAUCGUCUGAGCUCUCACUGCUUCACCUCAUACAUCCUUGCGGACUCGUGUAGAGUAUCAUAAUAUCUGCAUUGCUUCUGCGUGAGGGGCCACAGGCUCGCCUGCGCCAUUGCAUGUACAUUCAAAAACUGUUUCUCACUCUUCUUUUAUUGAUUCUCACUCCACCAUGCCCCAUCCUCCCUCCGCGUCCCUAUCCGCCUACGGUGUCGCUUCUGCACUUUUUCCCUCGCGUCAGAAUUAGCAAUCGUAUCGCAAACGAGGCGAUGAAGCAACGGAAGAGAUGUGGGCGCGGCUGGGUAUGGCACGGAUGAGUGCAAGCGCAUCUCCUCCUUUUCUUUUCGCCGUUGCUAAUUUUUCUCUCGUUCUUUUCAUCCUAUGUACACUGUUUGGUUACCUGCAACACAACAUCUGGAAACGUAAGGUAUUACACACCCCGG